CGGCUGCUGAUGCUGCUGCGUCUGUUGGGAUUUUCUGCGUGCUGGCGGUCCGUGCACCAUUUUGUGACCUUAUCCUGUGGAAUGUACGUGUGUGUGUGUGUGUGUGUGUGUGUGUGACUGGCUCACUGCCCUGCGGCGUUUGUCUUAAUCUCGACCGCUGUGGCUGCUGCUCAAGGUGUAUGUGUAGAGAAGUUCCUUAUCUGAGCUGCGAUUUCGACUGCAGCGGCUGCUGUGGCAUGUUGUGCGGGCCGUCUGAAAUGAAUUUGAAAAGCAAUUAGAUAUGGAAACAUCGUAUCAGCAUAAUUCGCAAUAACUGGUACAGUAAAACAAUUAUAAACAAAGAUGCUUAAGAAAAUGUCAAGGAAAAGUCGUGCAAAACAUAAAUUCAAGUAUAAAUUGCUUAUAAUUCUCAAGUGGUUAUAGCUUCGGAGGGAGGACAAGGCCUUGCAAAUCUCGAAUCGAUUGCAAACGAGAGCUUCUUGAUAUCUGCUCUCUCCUGGUGUUUAAACCUGCUUGUUGUUGGUAGACACAUUGUGUCAAAAGUGAAAGAGGUGGCAAUUCUGUAAUUUGAGGCAUGCAUUGUUGAAACUGGAUAAGAUUUAGUUGAUUUUCUAUAUCGUAUAGCUGAUAUAGCUAGAGUUUAGUGUCAUUUUUGGCAUAAAUUUACAAAAUUGAUUAGGUUUUAAAUGCCUUUUUAUAUAUUUUUAAAUCUUUUUGUAAAUUAAAGAUAAAACCUAAAAUAAUUUUAAUUUUUCUUAAGAUAUACAGGACCAUAUAUGGAGAAUAUGACAAUUGUUUCACAAUUCAAAGCAGCUCUGGAGAAGAGGUGUCAAUAUUCAAGCCACGACUGUAAUUUUUGUCAGCCAGCUUAAAUUUGAGGUGCUGCCAAUUUAGCGAUUGCGGCGUUGCCACACAUUUAACCGUUGACAGAUCAUAACUAAUUAAAUCAAAACUCUAUUUGUCAUUGAAAAUAUUGACGUUGUUUAGCAGAAUCGAAGAAUUCAUUAAAUGCAGCUGUCAUUAAAUGCAAACGGAGACAGAUAGAAAUGGGAGCUGUUGUUGCUCCGCUCAGUUCGUUCAGUUCGCUGAUGUUUGCAAAACCGAAUCGAAGCGGUUAUCAGGUUGAGGCGCCACCUUCUGAACUGCCCGUCAAUCGGGCGGCGUAACGCUGACGAGUCAAAACAAAAACAAAUACUUUGCUUGGACCCUGGCAGAGAGAGAGAGAGAGAUUGAGAGAGUAUCUGUGAAGUCCAGAAGCUUCGUUGAUUUGCCAUUGUUGUUGUUGCUGGGCUGCUAUCAGCGGCCUCUUGAACUGCGCGGGCGCGGUCGGGCGCUCAAAUAGAGGGGAGGUAGAGGUGGGCCUCUGACAUGAUCCGAUCCGAUUCAAACCGAAACCGAAACCGAGACAAAUCGUGCAUCAAAACAAAUGGCAAAGUAUAAAAACAGUUUUAUUUUUAAUUAAAACUCAUUUAUAGAUUGCCUUUGAUUAUCAGGCCGCUAGACCCCCAGCGUUUGUUUUGCUGACAAUAAAAUAUAUACAUAAAUAUA